rnacentral:tRNA from 1 species
AUUAUAUUAGUAUAAAUAGUACCUUUAGCUUCCAACUAAAAAGUUUAACAACUAAAUAUAAUA